UCUCGCAUAUUAUAGCAUAUAUCGCCAGCCUUUGUUCGCCAAAAACGACGGCGACGGCGACCCCGUCAAACAAUUUCGCGUAUUUCUGACCGGCCCGGGCGCAACUUCCGAAACAUAUUAAUACGAUUAUCGUACCCGAAUGAAACGAAAAAACGAUCCGCAACGAAGCUGUUGAUAGCCUCUGUAACCGAUAAUUGGACUUAACUAAUUCAAGACGGUUUUUCCCUUUGUAGCUGAAG